GCAAGUCGAACGGCAGCAUGCACUUCGGUGUGAUGGCGAGUGGCGCACGGGUGAGUAACGCGUACGGAAUCUACCUUAAACAGGGGGAAAGUCGCUGGAAACGGCGAAUAAUCCCGCAUAAGACCACACUAACACAUGUUAGAGGGGUUAAAGCUACGGUGGUUUAAGAUGAUCGUGCGUUCCAUUAGCUAGAUGGUAAGGUAACGGCUUACCAUGGCGACGAUGGGUAGGGGGCGUGAGAGCGUGAAC
rnacentral:rRNA from 1 species